rnacentral:snoRNA from 1 species
UCGCCCAUUAUGAAUGGCGUCUCCAGGCUGUGAUCCAGUUGAUUGUAGGCCUCAUAGAAUUUCUUACACUCCACAUUGA